UCGCCCGUACUAAGUGGGAAUUCUGCUUGGACAUCAAAAACCUUAAACCCAAGUUAUUCCAGAUGAGUCCAUCAUUUAGAGACAUUAAAACUGAGCACUAAUCAAGCCCUCUCACACCAUUAACAUUUUUAACCAUUGGAUGUACUCUGGUGGGAGUUCUCGGCCGUUAGAUGUCCUUCCAAUUCCGCCUGGGCUAUUUCCGCGGAGCACCAAGCACGGCACUUUACUGGGCCGCUUCUCCGGUAACAAAUUCAGACGUAUGUCGUAAACUCGGCAAAUGGGUUUGGCCCAUGUCAUCUAUAAAAAUGAACAGACCGUACGCACACAUCUGGAAAAAGAAGUGCGUCGCUCCUCCUUCCGUGGUCAGAUCGGUUAUCUCUUCUCCUCGGCCGCCGCUCUUCCCCAGCCUACCAGCACUACUCCAGCCGCCUCCUCCACAUGUGUGCUGCUCCUUUACCAGUUGACAGUUGUGCGGCGGCGUCGCCUGGCCUUUUCCUUGGCCCAUUUGGCUGAGCUCUAUGCCUAGCCCGCCGGUCGCUCCCUCAUUCGAUGCCUCCUCUUCUCCUUUGGCGGCUAGUUCCUCCCCUGAUCUAACACCGAAGCCUUCCUUGCCCCCAAAUUCAUCCCCCCCUCUCUGUCUCCGAUGUCGACGAUGCCACCCGAGACUGCAGGAACGGCGCCACUAGCCGCCCUAGCUAGCUUCACCGCCGUCUAACCUACAGUCAUCCCGAUUCCACAGCGGCGAGGUAGCGAACCUGAGAGGGGGUGCAGAGGCGCACACGCGGUUCAUGCAGUACAGAUAUCAGGCCAACUCGAGCCUGGUCCUCAUCACUGACUCGCAGCCACGCGCGAUCCCGAGACGCUCUGGGGCCUUAUCGACAAGAAGAGCUCUGGGCACCAUGCCGUGCAGGCCAAGCCCCUGGUGCUCAAGGACAGGCUCACCAAGGCCCGGAAGGAGUCGGUAGCACGCUAGCAGAUGGAGAUGGGCGUGGAGGUAUCAGAGGACAGAGCAGAAAGAAUUCAUGUCCGCUACUAAGAUGUAUCAAACCACAUAUUGUGUAGUUCAGAUUGAAUAUUUUGUAUAUAACUAUUUCAUCGAUGUUCCAUGAAUAAAGGUUGAUUUUAUUACUCUCAAA